UCAAAUGAAUUGACGGGGCCGCACAAGCGGAGGAACAUGUGGUUUAAUUCGAUGAUACGCGAGGAACCUUACCUGGGCUUAAAUGGGGAGUGACAGCUGGCGAAAGUUGGUUUUCUUCGGACACUCUUCAAGGUGCUGCAUGGUUGUCGUCAGCUCGUGCCGUGAGGUGUCGGGUUAAGUCCCAUAACGAGCGCAACCCUUACUGUUAGUUGCCAGCGGGUCAAGCCGGGAACUCUAACGGGACUGCCACCGUAAGGUGAGAGGAAGGUGGGGAUGACGUCAAAUCAUCAUGCCCCUUAUGACCUGGGCUACACACGUGCUACAAUGGUUGGUACAACGAGUUGCGAGUCGGUGACGGCGAGCUAAUCUCUUAAAGCCAAUCUCAGUUCGGAUUGUAGGCCGCAACUCGCCUACAUGAAGUCGGAAUCGCUAGUAAUCGCGGAUCAGCACGCCGCGGUGAAUACGUUCCCGGGCCUU
rnacentral:rRNA from 1 species